GCAGACUUCCUUCAGUAAUGACGCUCGGGACGCAAGCGGCGGAUGGGUGAGUAACACGUGGGGAACCUGCCCCAUACUCUGGGAUACCACUUGGAAACAGGUGCUAAUACCGGAUAAGAAAGCAGAUCGCAUGAUCAGCUUAUAAAAGGCGGCGUAAGCUGUCGCUAUGGGAUGGCCCCGCGGUGCAUUAGCUAGUUGGUAAGGAAACGGCUUACCAAGGCAAUGAUGCAUAGCCGAGUUGAGAGACUGAUCGGCCACAUUGGGACUGAGACACGGCCCAAACUCCAACGGGAGGCAGCAGUAGGGAAUCUUCCACAAUGGACGCAAGUCUGAUGGAGCAACGCCGCGUGAGUGAAGAAGGUUUUCGGAUCGUAAAGCUCUGUUGUUGGUGAAGAAGGAUAGAGGCAGUAACUGGCCUUUAUUUGACGGUAAUCAACCAGAAAGUCACGGCUAACUACGUGCCAGCAGCCGCGGUAAUACGUAGGUGGCAAGCGUUGUCCGGAUUUAUUGGGCGUAAAGCGAGCGCAGGCGGAAGAAUAAGUCUGAUGUGAAAGCCCUCGGCUUACCGAGGAACUGCAUCGGAACUGUUUUUCUUGAGUGCAGAAGAGGAGAGUGGAACUCC
rnacentral:rRNA from 1 species